rnacentral:rRNA from 1 species
GUGAGGAUAUUGGGCAUGGAGGUAACUCUGACCCAGCCAUGCCGCGUGCAGGAAGACUGCCCUAUGGGUUGUAAACUGCUUUUAUACAGGAAGAAACACUGGUAUGUAUACCAGCUUGACGGUACUGUAAGAAUAAGGACCGGCUAACUCCGUGCCAGCAGCCGCGGUAAUACGGAGGGUCCGAGCGUUAUCCGGAAUCAUUGGGUUUAAAGGGUCCGCAGGCGGUCAAUUAAGUCAGAGGUGAAAUCCCAUAGCUCAACUAUGGAACUGCCUUUGAUACUGGUUGACUUGAGUCAUAUGGAAGUAGAUAGAAUGUGUAGUGUAGCGGUGAAAUGCAUAGAUAUUACACAGAAUACCGAUUGCGAAGGCAGUCUACUACGUAUGUACUGACGCUGAGGGACGAAAGCGUGGGGAGCGAACAGGAUUAGAUACCCUGGUAGUCCACGCCGUAAACGAUGGAUACUAGUUGUUGGGCAUUAGCUCAGUGACUAAGCGAAAGUGAUAAGUAUCCCACCUGGGGAGUACGGUCGCAAGACUGAAACUCAAAGGAAUUGACGGGGCCCC